rnacentral:lncRNA from 1 species
CCACAACGAAGUCACACAAACAGCAACCAUAUAUAUAUAUUCAUCAUAAACCAAUCCACAAUAUCAAUACCGCAUAAAAACCCUAAAUUCCCAAAUUCGAAACCCUAGAAUGGCAUAUCGAAAUCAAAAUCAGAGGAUUACACCACCUAGCGAGUGAUGAGCAGGCGAGCAAGCGGCGGAGCAGGCGAGCAGGACAAGGAGAGGGUGACCAGGAGAGAAAGAGGGAGACCGGGAGAGGGAGAGGGAGACCGGGAGAGGGAGAGGGCGACCGGGAGUGCGGUGAGGGCUCACGGAGGCGGACCGGGUGUUAGUUAGGGUUUUUUCGUCGCUCUGUGGAGGCUGUAGAGAGCUGCGUUUUCUAUGGUCCCGAUACCUUUAGCUGACGAAAUAAUUACUUCGUCGGCUAAACCUUUAAAUUCGUCGGCUAAAAUAUGAAAUUCGUUGGCUGAACCUUUGAAAUUCGUCGGCUAACCUUUGAAAUUCGUCGGCUAAACCUGUGAAUAUCGUCGGCUAAAGUACUUUUUAUACAUUCGGCACAUUGUGAUUGUGAUGAUCAAACUUGAGAAACGAAAAUCCCACAGUCAGAUAUGACCAUCAUGAUAAAAUACAUGUAUGGGAAAAAAUUCAACUUGAUCCAACAAGGUUAAGGGCUCGAUCCGGACGGUCAAUCCCGUAAGUCAAACCCCUAAACGCACGGAAAAGGUCAUUGGACCGUCUAAAUUACGUAUUUUGGCCGGACCAUCAACUAAAAAUAGUUUGAAACCGAUGAGACGCAACAAGUCAUAUAAAAAUUUUACAGAAAAUAACCACCGAAGAUAAGGCUACCUAUAGGGAAAAAGAAUGGAAAAUUGCAUUGACCGCAACUAUCGGCAUCGAGACUUUACUGGAAUACCGUGAUUUUUCAACCGUAGACGUAUUUCACCAUUCUGGUCAUAUCUUAUUUCACUACUUUUUUGCGUUUGAACGUUCUAAGUAUAGUUUGUUUUUGAAACGGAACAUUUACUUAAACACUUGGUAAACAAGUUAUACAACAUUAGUAGGCAUGUUGUGAUUGUGAUGAUCAAACUUGAGAAACGAAAAUCCCACUGUCAGAUCUGACCAUCAUGAUAAAAUACAUAUAUGGGAAAAAAUUCAACUUGAUCCGACAAGGUUAAGGGCUCGAUCCGGACGGUGAAUCUCGUAAGUCGAACCCCUUAACGCACGGAAAAGGUCAUUGGACCGUCUAAAUUACGUAUUUUGGCCGGACCUUCAACUGAAAAUAGUUUCAAACCGAUAAGACGCAACAAGUCCUAUAUUAGGGUAUUCAUCGGUUAAGGUUUAGGGUUUAGGAUUUAGCCGACGAAAUAUUAGGGUAUUCGUCUGCUAAACGCAUCUUAGCCGACAAAUUAUGGUAUAUUUCGUCGGCUAAGAUGUUUUAAGCCGACGAAUUAUAGUAUAUUUCAUUGGCUAAGAUUGUUUAAGCCGACGAAUUAUGGG